CUUGGUUUUUAUUUUGCUUUUUGCUCGUCUCAGUUGAUUUACAGACGUCCAACCAUGUUUUUCAAAAGAAUAUUUCCAAACUUUUUACAUACGAAAUAAAGUCGACCUUCACAACAGUCUUUGCUCACUAACUAAAGUUGACCUUCACAACAGUCUUUGCUCACUAACUAAAGUCGACCUUCACAACAGUCUUUGCUCACUAACUAAAGUCGACCUUCACAACAGUCUUUGUUCACUAACUAAAGUCGACCUUCACAACAGUCUUUGUUCACUAACUAAAGUCGACCUUCACAACAGUCUUUGCUCACUAACUAAAGUCGACCUUCACAACAGUCUUUGCUCACUAACUAAAGUCGAUCUUCACAACAGUCUUUGCUCACUAACUAAAGUCGACCUUCACAACAGUCUUUGUUCACUAACUAAAGUCGACCUUCACAACAGUCUUUGUUCACUAACUAAAGUCGACAUUAACAACAGUCUUUGCUCACUAACUAAAGUCGACCUUCACAACAGUCUUUGUUCACUAACUAAAGUCGACCUUCUCAACAGUCUUUGUUCACCAACUAAAGUCGACCUUCACAACAGUCUUUGCUCACUAACUAAAGUCGACCUUCACAACAGUCUUUGCUCACUAACUAAAGUCGACCUUCACAACAGUCUUUGCUCACUAACUAAAGUCGACCUUCACAACAGUCUUUGCUCACUAACUAAAGUCGACCUUCACAACAGUCUUUGCUCACUAACUAAAGUCGACCUUCACAACAGUCUUUGCUCACUAACUAAAGUCGACCUUCACAACAGUCUUU